CAGGAACUAGAGGAAAUUGUUUUACUGUCUUUUUCAUUCUCUCUUUUGUAGAAGUGAUAUGUCACAAUCUUGCUAAAUCUCUGUAUAAGAAGCACACGGGGAGGUAGCCAAAGGUUCAAAUCUGAGCAUUCAGUAUAAAAAAAAGAUACAGCUGAGGUGAGACUGCUGUAGUGACUCAUUAUUUUCCACCUGUGCAUUAUGAAGCAAAACCUAUUCAACAUCAAGGAAGAAGACAUACUAGGAUAUCAGAAAGCCAGAUUCCCUCAGUGCCAACAGAGAACAAGGAAAAAAACAUGGGACUGAACUGGUGCCAAGCAGAAGAGCUUGAAAUAGUCUGACACCUCCCUGCAGUCAAUACUGAAUUUGCCAACGGUGACUAACACUCAAAAAUUAGUUGUUUCAGUGAUAUUUCAAAAGUAAAUGCCUAAAUCCAGCUGAUGAAACAGAAGAGAGUCAACUACAAAGCAAGCCAAAGGCUUAGACUCACACUAAUUCGGGAUUCCAGUGACUGAUACACAAGCACUCUUGCAGGAAUAAGUACAGUGAAUGUUGUUAAAUGAAUUGCUGUGAUGGAAGAUGUUUCUGAAAGUUCUGAGGAAAGAAAGAAAGCAAAGAGAAGGUUCCUAUUUUCAGGUGUCUCUAAGACAUGAAAUCAAGAACACAAUGAUGUUUUCAGGUUUCAGUUUGAAUCUGAAAAGUACACUAGAGAAACCAGGCAUGAGAAUCCUCAG
rnacentral:lncRNA from 1 species